rnacentral:rRNA from 1 species
UAAAAAAUAGGUCUCAGUUCAGAUUGCAGGCUGCAACCCGCCUGCAUGAAGUCGGAAUUGCUAGUAAUCGCGGAUCAGCAUGCCGCGGUGAAUACGUUCCCGGGCCUUGUACACACCGCCCGUCACACCAUGGGAGCCGGUAACACCCGAAGUCAGUAGUCCAACCUCGUGAGGACGCUGCCGAAGGUAGGAUUGGCGACUGGGGUGAAGUCGUAACAAGGUACC